rnacentral:rRNA from 1 species
AGAGUUUGAUCAUGGCUCAGAUUGAACGCUGGCGGCAUGCCUUACACAUGCAAGUCGAACGGCAGCACGGGCUUCGGCCUGGUGGCGAGUGGCAAACGGGUGAGUAAUGCAUCGGAACGUACCGUGUAGUGGGGGAUAACGUAGCGAAAGUUACGCUAAUACCGCAUACGCCCCGAGGGGGAAAGUGGGGGACCGCAAGGCCUCACGCUAUAUGAGCGGCCGAUGUCGGAUUAGCUAGUUGGUGGGGUAAAGGCCUACCAAGGCGACGAUCCGUAGCGGGUCUGAGAGGAUGAUCCGCCACACUGGGACUGAGACACGGCCCAGACUCCUACGGGAGGCAGCAGUGGGGAAUUUUGGACAAUGGGCGCAAGCCUGAUCCAGCCAUGCCGCGUGAGUGAAGAAGGCCUUCGGGUUGUAAAGCUCUUUCAGACGGAAAGAAAUCUCUUGGGUUAAUACCCUGGGAGGAUGACGGUACCGUAAGAAGAAGCACCGGCUAACUACGUGCCAGCAGCCGCGGUAAUACGUAGGGUGCGAGCGUUAAUCGGAAUUACUGGGCGUAAAGCGUGCGCAGGCGGUGAUGUAAGACAGAUGUGAAAUCCCCGGGCUCAACCUGGGAACUGCGUUUGUGACUGCAUCACUCGAGUACGGCAGAGGGAGGUGGAAUUCCGCGUGUAGCAGUGAAAUGCGUAGAUAUGCGGAGGAACACCGAUGGCGAAGGCAGCCUCCUGGGCCAGUACUGACGCUCAUGCACGAAAGCGUGGGGAGCAAACAGGAUUAGAUACCCCGGUAGUCCAA